rnacentral:tRNA from 1 species
GGAGGGUUAGCCUAACUGGUAAGGCACCGGUCUUGAAAACCGGCGGGCGAAAGCCCUUGUGGGUUCGAGUCCCUCACCCUCCGCCA